rnacentral:snRNA from 1 species
CUGCUCAUUAGCACAUAUACUAAAAUUGGAAUGACAGAGAAGAUUAACAUGGCCCCUGAGCAAGGAUGACACACAAAUUUGUGAAGCAUUCCAUACUUUU